AAGGCUUGACAUGUGCCGGAAAAGUGCAGAGAUGUGCUCCCCGCAAGGUCGGUACACAGGUGGUGCAUGGUUGUCGUCAGCUCGUGUCGUGAGAUGUUGGGUUAAGUCCCGCAACGAGCGCAACCCUCGUUCUAUGUUGCCAGCACGUGAUGGUGGGGACUCAUAGGAGACUGCCGGGGUCAACUCGGAGGAAGGUGGGGAUGACGUCAAAUCAUCAUGCCCCUUAUGUCUUGGGCUUCACGCAUGCUACAAUGGCCAGUACAAAGGGCUGCGAUACCGCAAGGUGGAGCGAAUCCCAAAAAACUGGUCUCAGUUCGGAUUGGGGUCUGCAACUCGACCCCAUGAAGUCGGAGUCGCUAGUAAUCGCAGAUCAGCAACGCUGCGGUGAAUACGUUCCCGGGCC
rnacentral:rRNA from 1 species